UACGAAGGGGGCUAGCGUUGCUCGGAAUCACUGGGCGUAAAGGGCGCGUAGGCGGACUUUUAAGUCGGAGGUGAAAGCCCAGGGCUCAACCCUGGAAUUGCCUUCGAUACUGGGAGUCUUGAGUUCGGAAGAGGUUGGUGGAACUGCGAGUGUAGAGGUGAAAUUCGUAGAUAUUCGCAAGAACACCGGUGGCGAAGGCGGCCAACUGGUCCGAUACUGACGCUGAGGCGCGAAAGCGUGGGGAGCAAACAGG
rnacentral:rRNA from 2 species